CCUACGGGGGGCAGCAGUGAGGAAUAUUGGUCAAUGGACGAGAGUCUGAACCAGCCAAGUAGCGUGAAGGAUGACUGCCCUAUGGGUUGUAAACUUCUUUUAUAUGGGAAUAAAAUGUUCCACGUGUGGGAUUUUGUAUGUACCAUAUGAAUAAGGAUCGGCUAACUCCGUGCCAGCAGCCGCGGUAAUACGGAGGAUCCGAGCGUUAUCCGGAUUUAUUGGGUUUAAAGGGAGCGUAGGUGGAUUGUUAAGUCAGUUGUGAAAGUUUGCAGCUCAACCGUAAAAUUGCAGUUGAAACUGGCAGUCUUGAGUACAGUAGAGGUGGGCGGAAUUCGUGGUGUAGCGGUGAAAUGCUUAGAUAUCACGAAGAACUCCGAUUGCGAAGGCAGUUCACUGGACUGCAACUGACACUGAGGCUCGAAAGUGUGGGUAUCAAACAGGAUUAGAUACCCGAGUAGUC
rnacentral:rRNA from 1 species